rnacentral:rRNA from 1 species
UCUCCGUAGGUGAACCUGCGGAGGGAUCAUUACACAAAUAUGAAGGCGGGCUGGAACCUCUCGGGGUUACAGCCUUGCUGAAUUAUUCACCCUUGUCUUUUGCGUACUUCUUGUUUCCUUGGUGGGUUCGCCCACCACUAGGACAAACAUAAACCUUUUGUAAUUGCAAUCAGCGUCAGUAACAAAUUAAUAAUUACAACUUUCAACAACGGAUCUCUUGGUUCUGGCAUCGAUGAAGAACGCAGCGAAAUGCGAUAAGUAGUGUGAAUUGCAGAAUUCAGUGAAUCAUCGAAUCUUUGAACGCACAUUGCGCCCUUUGGUAUUCCAAAGGGCAUGCCUGUUCGAGCGUCAUUUGUACCCUCAAGCUUUGCUUGGUGUUGGGCGUCUUGUCUCUAGCUUUGCUGGAGACUCGCCUUAAAGUAAUUGGCAGCCGGCCUACUGGUUUCGGAGCGCAGCACAAGUCGCACUCUCUAUCAGCAAAGGUCUAGCAUCCAUUAAGCCUUUUUUCAACUUUGACCUCGGAUCAGGUAGGGAUACCCGCUGAACUUAAA